rnacentral:rRNA from 1 species
AUGGCUUCUUCUGGUUCCGUGACGAGGCCACCAUGUGCUAACUGCGAGGAUAUGCCGGACAAGUGGACAUACGCCGAGUUGGAUAAGGUGAAGGACAAAGAUAUGAGAACUCCAUCAUGUUGGUGUGGAGAUGUUUGCAAAGUUAAGGUAUCCACCGACCACAAGAAAUCAUGGACAGGAAGAGGAUAUUUUGUUUGUCCCAACUAUGCCUACGAUCGUCCUCAUCCAGCUCACGCCUAUGAUGUACCGCCGAUAAGUUGUUCAAGUUCAAACAUGUCGUCAACCAUUGAAUCUAUCUUACUAAUGACACCACAUUUCUUCUUUAUUCGUACCUAG